AGACGGAGGCGAAGCCGCGAGGCGGAGCAAAUCCGAAAAAGACCGGUCUCAGUUCGGAUUGCAGGCUGCAAUUCGCCUGCAUGAAGUCGGAAUCGCUAGUAAUCGCAGGUCAGCAUACUGCGGUGAAUACGUUCCCGGGCCUU
rnacentral:rRNA from 1 species